UUAGGCUUAAUACUCAUUGCGACAGCUCCACAGGUUGCGAGACGGCAAACUCCUGAAAAUUGGGCUUCUGCUAUAGUUACAGAACCGCUACUUCGGAGAGUGAAACAUUUUUCAAUUACUCGUGAGCGGUUCUUACAAGCUGUGUGUAAAGGAUACCUGACUUUUUUUUUUUCUUUUUCCCCUCACGACCGCGUAGUGGUUCGGAUCAUGUUUUACCCGGCCUGUCGUCGGUCUUGUGCCGUACUCGGAUGUUCCGGAGCGUGCCGUACUUUAGGCUUAACUGCCUGUGGCGCGGAAAGCCGAAUGCAUUUUUGUGAUUGCACAACUAUUUGGAUAUUUUAAAUAUGGCUGUGUUGGGAUUUAUGUCAAGCAUAUUAUAUUAAGAAAUAUAACCAGAAAAAUAUUUGGAUAAACAUCUUUGAUAAACAUUCCAGCAAGAAGUUCAGGCUAUGUAAAUGUGUAACCCAAUCAAGGAAGAAGCUACCUUUCUACUGUACAAUUUCCAUCGUUUUUCAUGAACGGGAGAGGGGAGGUAAA
rnacentral:misc_RNA from 1 species